rnacentral:lncRNA from 1 species
AACUUGCCCUAUUCGAUGCUGGCCUCGGCUAGUGGGACUGCUGCCAUUAUUUUGUAUUGCUGUAACAGUCACCGGUCACACUGACUUUGUCUCUGAACACAACCCUGGGCUUGUUUGUGAUUAACAGUGUCAAUCUGCAGGAGAAAGAUCCUUGGUCUCUGAACUUCAUGAGAGGAGUUAAAAAAAAAAAAUUGCAGACUGAGGUACCCAGUAUAAACCAUGAGGAGAAUCCUGUGGAAGUCUUUUCACCACCUUUUGGACGCAAGGAGUGCGCUUACUCAU